GGACUACCCGGGUAUCUAAUCCCGUUCGCUCCCCUGGCUUUCGCGCCUCAGCGUCAGAAGAGGGCCAGCACGCCGCUUUCGCCACCGGCGUUCCUUCCGAUAUCAACGCAUUUCACCGCUCCACCGGAAGUUCCGCGUGCCCCUACCUCACUCAAGACUGCCAGUAUCCCAGGCAAUUCUCCGGUUAAGCCGAAGGAUUUCACCCCGGACUUGGCAGCCCGCCUACGCGCCCUUUAAGCCCAGUGAUUCCGAACAACGUUCGCACGGUUCGUCUUACCGCGGCUGCUGGCAC
rnacentral:rRNA from 1 species